GCUUUUAUUCCUUUAGACAUCGCGUGGAAAUACCCAGUGUUAGAAUCUCCCAGAGUGAGCCAUACUUGUCGACUCCUCUGUCGCCAAAAUUCCUCUUCAGCCUUGUAGGCUUGAAGAAGUUUUGCACUGAUCUCGUGGAGGUAGGCCUCAUCUGGACUUGGAUUGAUCAUUGCUGUUUCAAGCUCAUCCUUAAGAUUUUCUAUAGCUUUCCUGCUAUUUAUCUGGUGUUCCUUACUCCAUUUGCAGAUGGCCCUUCUACAAAGAUUAAGCCGGGCUUCAACACAGAGAUGAGUAUGCGUUUCCCAAACUUCUUCAAUAAUAUUUUUAACCUCCGUGUUGUCUCUUAACCUUCUAUCAUAUCUGAAGAUUCUCUUUCCUCUCUUCUUUUUUGUAUCCAGGAAAGAGAGAAGGGGC
rnacentral:lncRNA from 1 species